rnacentral:rRNA from 1 species
AAGGAAUAUUGGUCAAUGGACGCAAGUCUGAACCAGCCAUGCCGCGUGAAGGAUGAAGGUCCUCUGGAUUGUAAACUUCUUUUAUCUGGGACGAACACGGGAUUUUUAUCUCAAUUGACGGUACCAGAGGAAUAAGCACCGGCUAACUCCGUGCCAGCAGCCGCGGUAAUACGGAGGGUGCGAGCGUUAUCCGGAUUUACUGGGUUUAGAGGGUGCGUAGGUGGGCUUAUAAGUCAGUGGUGAAAUCUCCGAGCUUAACUUGGAAACUGCCGUUGAUACUAUAGGUCUUGAAUUAUCUGGAGGUGAGCGGAAUAUGACAUGUAGCGGUGAAAUGCUUAGAUAUGACAGAGAACACCAAUUGAGAAGGCAGCUUACUACAUAUAAAUUGACGCUGAGGCACGAAAGCGUGGGGAUCAAACA